rnacentral:rRNA from 1 species
UACGAAGGGAGCAAGCGUUGUUCGGAUUUACUGGGCGUAAAGGGUGUGUAGGUGGUUUUGCAAGUUGGAUGUGAAAGCCCUGGGCUCAACUCAGGAAUAGCAUUCAAGACUGCAUGACUAGAGUGUGGAAGAGGUUGGUGGAAUUCCUAGUGUAGAGGUGAAAUUCGUAGAUAUUAGGAAGAACACCCGUGGCGAAGGCGGCCAACUGGUCCAUAACUGACACUGAGACACGAAAGCGUGGGGAGCAAACAGG